CGAGCGAGCGGGAAGAGCUCAAAUUUAUAAUCUGGCACCUUCGGUGUCCGAGUUGUAAUCUCUAGAAGUGUUUUCCGCGUUGGACCGCACACAAGUCUGUUGGAAUACAGCGGCACAGUGGUGAUACCCCCGUACACGGUGCGGACGCCCAGCGCUUUGUGAUACACUUUCAAUGAGUCGAGUUGUUUGGGAAUGCAGCUCAAAUUGGGUGGUAAAUUCCAUCUAAAGCUAAAUAUUGGCGAGAGACCGAUAGCGAACAAGUACCGUGAGGGAAAGAUGAAAAGCACUUUGGAAAGAGAGUUAACAGUACGUGAAAUUGUUGGAAGGGAAACGCUUGAAGUCAGACUUGCUUGCCGGAGCUUGCUUCGGUUUGCAGGCCAGCAUCAGUUUUCCGGGGUGGAUAAUGGUGGUUUGAAGGUAGCAGCCUCGGCUGUGUUAUAGCUUUCCACUGGAUACAUCCUGGGGGACUGAGGAACGCAGCGUGCUUUUUGCGAAGGUUUCGACCUUUUCACGCUUAGGAUGCUGGUGUAAUGACUUUAAACGACCCGUCUUG
rnacentral:rRNA from 1 species